UCGGGGCGGUGAGGGGGGGUCCCCGCCUUCGCCCCAGAGAGGAAGCCCCACUUCUCCCCGCUUCACCCCACUGUGGCCCCGCUGUAAAUAGUUGUGUGCAAAUUGGAGCUUCAACACCUGUUUCCUGUUUUUCGGGGCAUCGGCCCGGAGUGGGGAGGCCCAAGCAGAGGGCAGCGCCAUCUGUAACCCGCUGGGAAAGGCCACGCUGCCUGCAGCGGAGACGGGAGCCUGGUCCACUCCACGCGAGCUUCGCGUGUUGCUUAUUUAAAAUGUUCUCCCUUGCUCUCGUCGUAGCGUGAAGCGGAUAGUGGGUUUGGGAUUUUUUUUUUAAGAUUUAUUUAUGCAUACAAGAGCUGGCGUACAGGCCAGAGAUGCAAGGGCGAGGCGGGGGUGAGAGGGUUCUCCAGAGACAGAGUGGGGAGCAGAAAAGGCAGAUCUACCGAAAUCCACUGCUGAGCGGAGCAGCGGGGAGACAGGAGAGGUCUGCUUUGCCAUGUGGGUAGCUCCCUGGCCAGGGAUCGAACUCGUGCUGAGACUUGACCCCUUGUGCCACCAGGGAGGCCCUGGGUUUAGUUUUGUGCUUCUGUGGCGACUAGCGACGCUGACAGGCUCUUCUGGAGCUGUGGGCUGUUGGCCCGUGUCCUCUGGAGGAGCCUCUAUUCCAGUCCUCGAGUCACUUUCAAAAUUGGUUUGUCUUUUUGUUAGUCGUCAAAUGCCUCGUGUGUCCUGACCCACAGACUCUUACCUCUGCACACUGAGGCUUCGGGGCUUCUUAUUCUUGGCUGAAACCGUCUUUGGAGUAAUCCCUGCGCAGAGCGCGCUGAUGCACUGAUGGGGUUUUCUGCACCAGUGGCAGCCCUGGGAGAAACCCAGGAUGUUUCCACAAAUUUAAUGCAAAAUGAAGAGUUUCAGGUGUAGAAUGUUAGUAACUGCCACGUAUGUUUUAUGCUAAAAUGUGCAGAUUUGCUGAGUAAGCAUCAUGUCAUCUUUGAACGCGUUGGAAAAUGUUUGCUACAAAAUAAGUAGAUCAGAAUAUUUAUGGCAAGGGUUAGUAUGUUUUUGGAUUAUAUGCCUAGACGCUAGGAUGCAGAGGUUUAUCUAUUCAGUUGACUAACAUGAAAACACUGGCAGUAGGAACUGGCUCCCAUUCCUUGAAAGACUUUCUAGGUCACACCACAAAUCAAAAUGAACUGAAAUUAACCAAGUAACUGGGUGGGGGGGGGCACACGUCUCCUCUGUCCGCUGACCCCAAGUGCUGUUCCGGGGUCCAUGUCUUUGGGGAGUGUCUCCCCUUCUCCCUCAGUUGGGGUGUUUGGCCUUCAGAGUCCUGUCUCCUGUAAUCUUCCCUCCCAUCCCCCCCAUGGGGGAGCCCCUGAGGGCAGCGGGCUCACCUUUAUCAUAUGCCUCCCUUUAACACCUGCUCCUGAGGCCACUCAGUACAUGGUUCUGCGCACCCCCGGGGGUGGCCAGAGCAGGAACUGUGAAGGUGGUUUCAGUCCUGGAGGACCCCGCUGGCAUCUGCACCUUCAAGCAAGGCCUGCCCGCCGGCCCCAUCUUUCAAGGCCCUCCCUGCUCUGCUCCUCCCCCUCCUCCCCACACCCCCCACUGUACCCCUUAGGCCCUCCCUGUCCCCGGCUCUUUUCUUUCCCUGUCCCCAAUGUCACAAACUGAAAGAGCAGCUGAUUCGCAGGCCCCACUUCCAAGUGGAGACCCUCCUAUCUUUGGACAUCUCUGCUGGCGUGGCUCCUCUCCCCGACAGUGCAGACAACUCGCUGACUUUAUGACUUUGGGGGUCUGGGGACCUUGGCAGAGAUUAUGACCCUGCCCUGGCGGGAGCCUCUCUCCAAGAGCUGAGACCUUCGCACAGGGGAGCUGCUCCCUUUGGUAGAAGCUGCACAGCCACGGGGCAGCGAGUCUGAGAACCCCGUGGGACCGGGUCAUGCUGGGCUAAUUAACAGCGCCCCUGAUGUUGACGAAGCACAGGGUGACCAGGAAGCUCGGUAUGAAGACAAGACUAGUCCAUCAACAGUAUGAAGACAAGAUUAGUCCAUAUUUUGGAUGCAGCUUGAGACUUAUUUCCACUGCUGUAUAAUAUUCCACUCAAUGUACAGCUGUUGUUUACUUUGUGUUCUGCUCACAUAAGGGUUAAGGAGAGUGUGCUUACAUCAUCGCUAAAAUUUUAUGUUCUACUUCAUCAUUUAAACUGCAAUAUAAGUACUCUCCACAUCAUUAAAAACUAUUCAGUGUUAGUGUAUCUAUCUAGUUUUUACAUUUAAUGUUGUAUAUAUUGGGUGUUUUUAUUUAGAUGGUUUCAAAUCAUUUUACUGUAAAUAAAGUGUUGGUGAACAUUUUUACACAUAAGGAUUUUUUAUCUGAAUUUGAAAACAUUUUCUUUGGUUAUUUCAAAAAUAAAAUUAUU